GGAGCUGUAGCUCAGUGGUAGAGCACUUGCCUUGUACACAUGAGGCCCUGCAUUGGAUUCCCAGCACCA
rnacentral:tRNA from 1 species